rnacentral:rRNA from 1 species
UACGUAGGGGGCAAGCGUUAUCCGGAAUUACUGGGUGUAAAGGGUGAGUAGGCGGCAUGGUAAGCCAGAUGUGAAAGCCUUGGGCUUAACCCGAGGAUUGCAUUUGGAACUAUCAAGCUAGAGUACAGGAGAGGAAAGCGGAAUUCCUAGUGUAGCGGUGAAAUGCGUAGAUAUUAGGAAGAACACCAGUGGCGAAGGCGGCUUUCUGGGCUGAAACUGACGCUGAGGCACGAAAGCGUGGGGAGCGAACAGG